CUGAGGACCCCACUGCUUCUCCUUCGGCUUUGGCGGGACGCCCCCUGCUCUGAGUCAAGGGCUCCUCCUGGGAGGCAGAGGCUGCUCCCACACUUGCCCACAGGUAGGGACAAGUUGAAGCGAACUCCCUGUUGGGAUCUGGGCCUAGCGUCUCUGCCCUUUUAUCCACCCAGCCCU